GCUGGGAUGGCUCAAGUUGGUAGAGCAUGAGACUCUUAAUCUCUGGGUCACAGGUUCAAGCCCCACGUUAUGCG